CGGUCAUGAUAGCCUACACAAGCAAACAGAAUGGCAUGGUAAUAUCUUUUACUGUCUGGGUGGGGAUUCUCCGAGGACUGCAGACAGUGCCUGUAAACUAAACCAUCUAGGACACUUCAUGAUCUUGGGACAGAGCCAUUUUAUGGAGUGCCAACUGUAGAGUGAGAUGUGCAUUCUGCCUUUCGUACAGAGCAACGGGGAAAUCUGUUCAUGACAAGAAUUAUCCAUUUUGAGAUAAAGAGCACGUGGUAUGACCCUGGAACACGAUGACAAAUAACUUCCCCAUGCCACCAUAUAUCCUGCUGAAAGAUGGAAAUGCCAAGUUCAUUAGGGACGGGUUUGAAGCACCCUGCAAACACAGCUGACUGAGGCUUUGUAGUUGUGGCUGAUCAAUAUUUAGCAUCUUAAUUCACCACA